rnacentral:rRNA from 1 species
UGGGGAAUAUUGGACAAUGGGCGAAAGCCUGAUCCAGCCAUGCCGCGUGUGUGAAGAAGGUCUUCGGAUUGUAAAGCACUUUAAGUUGGGAGGAAGGGCAGUAAGUUAAUACCUUGCUGUUUUGACGUUACCAACAGAAUAAGCACCGGCUAACUUCGUGCCAGCAGCCGCGGUAAUACGAAGGGUGCAAGCGUUAAUCGGAAUUACUGGGCGUAAAGCGCGCGUAGGUGGUUCAGCAAGUUGGAUGUGAAAUCCCCGGGCUCAACCUGGGAACUGCAUCCAAAACUACUGAGCUAGAGUACGGUAGAGGGUGGUGGAAUUUCCUGUGUAGCGGUGAAAUGCGUAGAUAUAGGAAGGAACACCAGUGGCGAAGGCGACCACCUGGACCAACACUGACACUGAGGCACGAAAGCGUGGGGAGCAAACAGGAUUAGAUACCCUGGUAGUCCACGCCCUAAACGAUGCGAACUGGAUGUUGGGUGCAAUUUGGCACGCAGUAUCGAAGCUAACGCGUUAAGUUCGCCGCCUGGGGAGUACGGUCGCAAGACUG